UAACCUUAACCUUAUCAAAAACCGGAGGG
rnacentral:rRNA from 1 species